UGACUUAUGAUGAGCUGUGUUUCCUGAGCACCAUGACAUGAUGGUCAACUGAAUACUCUGAAGUCC